GCCGGGCAUGGUGGCACAUGCCUGUAAUCCCAGUGGCUCAGGAGGCUGAGGCAGGAGGAUCACAGGUUCAAAGCCAGCCUCAG
rnacentral:sRNA from 1 species